rnacentral:rRNA from 1 species
GAUAUUCUCCUACCGGCGAAGAACCGCCCAUACCGAGCCCGGUGAUGCUAACCACCCCGGACCACCACCGUCACCUUCGGGUGACACCGGUGGCGAGGCGUGGGACCCGAACCGGUAGUAGGUAAGCGUAUUAACAGGGGUGACGCAGGAAGGUAGCCCGGCGUGGCGAUGGUAGACCACGUCCAAGGCCGUAGCCGGCUUCGUAGGUAAAUCCGCGAAGCACGUACGGUGAGAGCUGACGGUGACCGCUCAAGCGGGAAUCGGGUGAUCCUCUGCUGCCAAGAAAAGCCUCGACGCGAGGUUCUAGCCGCCCGUACCCCAAACCGACUCAGGUGGUCAGGUAGAGAAUACCAAGGCGAUCGAGCAAAUCGUGGUUAAGGAACUCGGCAAAAUGCCCCCGUAACUUCGGGAGAAGGGGGGCCCGAACUGUCCAACCCCUUGCGGGUGACGGCGGUAAGGGCCGCAGAGACCAGGGAGAAGCGACUGUUUACUAAAAACACAGGUCCGUGCGAAGUCGCAAGACGAUGUAUACGGACUGACGCCUGCCCGGUGCUGGAAGGUUAAGAGGACGGGUCAGCCUUCGGGCGAAGCCCAGAAUUUAAGCCCCAGUAAACGGCGGUGGUAACUAUAACCAUCCUAAGGUAGCGAAAUUCCUUGUCGGGUAAGUUCCGACCUGCACGAAUGGCGUAACGACUUCUCCGCUGUCUCAACCGCGAACUCGGCGAAAUUGCACUACGAGUAAAGAUGCUCGUUACGCGCAGCAGGACGGAAAGACCCCGGGACCUUUACUAUAGCUUGGUAUUGGUGUUCGGUGCGGUUUGUGUAGGAUAGGUGGGAGACUAUGAAGCCCGCGCGCCAGCGCGAGUGGAGUCGCCGUUGAAAUACCACUCUGACCGCAUCGACCAUCUAACCUCGGUCCGUGAUCCGGAUCAGGGACAGUGCCUGGUGGGUAGUUUAACUGGGGCGGUUGCCUCCCAAAAUGUAACGGAGGCGCUCAAAGGUUCCCUCAGCCUGGUUGGCAAUCAGGUGUCGAGUGCAAGUGCACAAGGGAGCUUGACUGUGAGACCGACAGGUCGAGCAGGGACGAAAGUCGGAACUAGUGAUCCGGCGGUGGCUUGUGGAAGCGCCGUCGCUCAACGGAUAAAAGGUACCCCGGGGAUAACAGGCUGAUCUUCCCCAAGAGUCCAUAUCGACGGGAUGGUUUGGCACCUCGAUGUCGGCUCGUCGCAUCCUGGGGCUGGAGUAGGUCCCAAGGGUUGGGCUGUUCGCCCAUUAAAGCGGCACGCGAGCUGGGUUUAGAACGUCGUGAGACAGUUCGGUCCCUAUCCGCUGCGCGCGCAGGAAACUUGAGAAGGGCUGUCCCUAGUACGAGAGGACCGGGACGGACGAACCUCUGGUAUGCCAGUUGUUCCGCCAGGAGCACCGCUGGUUCGCUACGUUCGGAAGGGAUAACCGCUGAAAGCAUCUAAGCGGGAAGCCUGCUUCAAGAUGAGGUUUCCAUCCCCCUCGUGGGGUGAAGGCACCCAGCUAGACCACUGGGUAGAUAGGCCGGAAGUGGAAGACAGGACCAACGACUGUCGCAGCUGACCGGUACUAAUAAGCCAACAACUUCAACACCAACACUUCUGCUAUGCACGCGUCCACUGUGCGGUUCCCGAGAAACGGGCACCACCCACACACCCCCCACCCCCACCACAGGG